CGGGCCCACUCCAUAGAACAGAAAAGGAAUCUUGGGGGCUCAAGACUACACUUCCCCAAAGGCCACAGGACAGCCCCUGAGAGCUGUGAGCGCGCGGCAUGGUGGGAAUUGGCGUUCCAGUCGCAGCGCAUGGCAUCGGAAGCUAGCAAUUUGAGGACUACAAUUCCCGUCAUGCAGCGUCACACGACCUAGCUUGUGGGAACCGGCGAAAUUUGGUGACGUACUUCCCGUGGCUAUCUCUGCGUCAGAGCGUAUAGAAAAAGCAGGCGCGAUACCCUUAAGGACUACAUUUCCCAAAAGGGAUCACGAGCGACUCUGAGCCAAUCAGGACCGAGACCGAAGGCUAAAAGCGACUAGAGGGGACGCGUCUGUUUUGGGCUUGGAGCACGGGCAAGCGGCCCACCGGCAGGGGGCGCCCGGAGGAGGCCGAAAAGCUGGACGGGGCGAAAACGUUUUGAGCUGGGAGAACGCCCCGCCGGUUUCCAAGGAUGCAACUAUGAAGAGACACAGUGGGGGCUACGAUUGGGUCGUGACUGUGGCCCACGCCAGGCGAGCGUCCCCGCCCCAGCCCCUCUGCCAUCUGCGUGCCUGUUCUCCCGCUACCUGCCCCCGCGCCAGGAUCCAGGCUUGCAAACGUCCCCAUGCCAUGCGCAGGCACAUCUCGGGCGGCCAGCCAGGCACACGCUGCGGGGUGUCAUUAGCUGCAGUGCCGCCUAAACGCGGCGGCCCGUGCAGAACCACGGCCAGGCCACCUGCACGGGCCAGGGAGGUGAUGGGGACAGCGAGAGACAUGCCAAACCCCACUGGGGGGUUGGGAGGGGAGGCGCUUUCAUCCUAAGGUGACUUCCGUUUUUUUUUCUAAUAAAAAAAUAUUUUAAACAUGGGGAUAAAUAGAGAAAAAGACAAAAUAGACCCCAUCAUAGCAAUGCCAAAGAUGAGACAGAUUUAUUUAUUCCAUAAAUAUCUACUGAGAGGAUAUUGCGUGUCUGCACCGAUUCCGGAGCUGAGCUAGACCAGGGAGCAAAAUAAAACAAAACGGACCCUUAAAAAAACAUUUAAGGCUGCGCGCGGUGGCUCACGCCUGUAAUCGCAGCACUUUG
rnacentral:lncRNA from 10 species